AUGUCAAUUUGCACCAAAUGUGCUCUUUUAGUAUGGCUACAUGAUGAGGAAGGAAAAUGGAAAGUAGAACAUGCCCUUUUGUUGAUUAAGUUUGGUUUCUCUCGCUUGGUUCUCGAGUUAUUGUCAAUAUUUGGACUGUUUGGCACCAAUCAACAUGAAUGCGGCCAAAUGGUGCAGUUCUGCUAUCGCAUUAUACAGCUUGCAAAUAUGAUAAGGUUUCUGGUUGAUAGUUAUAAUAAGCAUGUCCCUGCAAUACUUGAAAUUCCUUGCAGCAUAACGUGA